ACCUUGACCUUUGACCUUGACCCUUUUGUGUGCUGAAAGGUAUCUCCAUAGGACUGAUAUAUGUGAACUUACAAGGGUCUCCAAUGAUGAUUUGCAUGCUUUUUCACACCCU